rnacentral:rRNA from 1 species
GGGCCUGUCCCUAGUACGAGAGGACCGGGAUGGACACACCCCUGGUGAACCUGUUGUCGCGCCAGCGGCACAGCAGGGUAGCUAUGUGUGGAAGGGAUAACCGCUGAAAGCAUCUAAGCGGGAAGCCUGCCUUAAGAUAAGUGCUCCCUGACGCAAGUCCUGAAGGGCCCAGGUAGACGACCUGGUCGAUAGGUCGGAGGUGUAAGCGCCGCGAGGCGUUCAGCUGACCGAUACUAAUAGCCCGUGAGGCUUGUUUCC